GGUUAAGCGACUAAGCGUACACGGUGGAUGCCCUGGCAGUCAGAGGCGAUGAAGGACGUGCUAAUCUGCGAAAAGCGUCGGUAAGGUGAUAUGAACCGUUAUAGCCGGCGAUGUCCGAAUGGGGAAACCCAGUGCAAUUCGUUGCACUAUCGUUAACUGAAUACAUAGGUUAACGAGGCGAACCGGGGGAACUGAAACAUCUAAGUACCCCGAGGAAAAGAAAUCAACCGAGAUUCCCCCAGUAGCGGCGAGCGAACGGGGAGCAGCCCAGAGUCUGAAUCAGCUUGUGUGUUAGUGGAACGGUCUGGAAAGUCCGACGGUACAGGGUGAUAGUCCCGUACACCAAAAUGCACAGGUUGUGAACUCGAAGAGUAGGGCGGGACACGUGGUAUCCUGUCUGAAUAUGGGGGGACCAUCCUCCAAGGCUAAAUACUCCUGACUGACCGAUAGUGAACCAGUACCGUGAGGGAAAGGCGAAAAGAACCCCGGCGAGGGGAGUGAAAAAGAACCUGAAACCGUGUACGUACAAGCAGUGGGAGCACCUUCGGGUGUGACUGCGUACCUUUUGUAUAAUGGGUCAGCGACUUAUAUUCUGUAGCAAGGUUAACCGUAUAGGGGAGCCGCAGGGAAACCGAGUCUUAACUGGGCGUUAAGUUGCAGGGUAUAGACCCGAAACCCGGUGAUCUAGCCAUGGGCAGGUUGAAGGUUGGGUAACACUAACUGGAGGACCGAACCGACUAAUGUUGAAAAAUUAGCGGAUGACUUGUGGCUGGGGGUGAAAGGCCAAUCAAACCGGGAGAUAGCUGGUUCUCCCCGAAAGCUAUUUAGGUAGCGCCUCGUGAAUUCAUCUUCGGGGGUAGAGCACUGUUUCGGCUAGGGGGUCAUCCCGACUUACCAACCCGAUGCAAACUACGAAUACCGAAGAAUGUUAUCACGGGAGACACACGGCGGGUGCUAACGUCCGUCGUGAAGAGGGAAACAACCCAGACCGCCAGCUAAGGUCCCAAAGUCAUGGUUAAGUGGGAAACGAUGUGGGAAGGCACAGACAGCCAGGAUGUUGGCUUAGAAGCAGCCAUCAUUUAAAGAAAGCGUAAUAGCUCACUGGUCGAGUCGGCCUGCGCGGAAGAUGUAACGGGGCUAAACCAUGCACCGAAGCUGCGGCAGCGACACUAUGUGUUGUUGGGUAGGGGAGCGUUCUGUAAGCCUGCGAAGGUGUGCUGUGAGGCAUGCUGGAGGUAUCAGAAGUGCGAAUGCUGACAUAAGUAACGAUAAAGCGGGUGAAAAGCCCGCUCGCCGGAAGACCAAGGGUUCCUGUCCAACGUUAAUCGGGGCAGGGUGAGUCGACCCCUAAGGCGAGGCCGAAAGGCGUAGUCGAUGGGAAACAGGUUAAUAUUCCUGUACUUGGUGUUACUGCGAAGGGGGGACGGAGAAGGCUAUGUUAGCCGGGCGACGGUUGUCCCGGUUUAAGCAUGUAGGCUGAUUGUCCAGGCAAAUCCGGAUAAUCAAGGCUGAGGUGUGAUGACGAGGCACUACGGUGCUGAAGUAACAAAUGCCCUGCUUCCAGGAAAAGCCUCUAAGCAUCAGGUAACAUUAAAUCGUACCCCAAACCGACACAGGUGGUCAGGUAGAGAAUACCAAGGCGCUUGAGAGAACUCGGGUGAAGGAACUAGGCAAAAUGGUGCCGUAACUUCGGGAGAAGGCACGCUGGUGUGUAGGUGAAGCCCCUGCGGGUGGAGCUGAGACCAGUCGAAGAUACCAGCUGGCUGCAACUGUUUAUUAAAAACACAGCACUGUGCAAACACGAAAGUGGACGUAUACGGUGUGACGCCUGCCCGGUGCCGGAAGGUUAAUUGAUGGGGUUAUCCGUAAGGAGAAGCUCUUGAUCGAAGCCCCGGUAAACGGCGGCCGUAACUAUAACGGUCCUAAGGUAGCGAAAUUCCUUGUCGGGUAAGUUCCGACCUGCACGAAUGGCGUAAUGAUGGCCAGGCUGUCUCCACCCGAGACUCAGUGAAAUUGAACUCGCUGUGAAGAUGCAGUGUACCCGCGGCAAGACGGAAAGACCCCGUGAACCUUUACUAUAGCUUGACACUGAACAUUGAGCCUUGAUGUGUAGGAUAGGUGGGAGGCUUUGAAGCGUGGACGCCAGUCUGCGUGGAGCCAACCUUGAAAUACCACCCUUUAAUGUUUGAUGUUCUAACGUUGGCCCCUUACCGGGGUUGCGGACAGUGUCUGGUGGGUAGUUUGACUGGGGCGGUCUCCUCCCAAAGCGUAACGGAGGAGCACGAAGGUUAGCUAAUCCUGGUCGGACAUCAGGAGGUUAGUGCAAUGGCAUAAGCUAGCUUGACUGCGAGCGUGACGGCGCGAGCAGGUGCGAAAGCAGGUCAUAGUGAUCCGGUGGUUCUGAAUGGAAGGGCCAUCGCUCAACGGAUAAAAGGUACUCCGGGGAUAACAGGCUGAUACCGCCCAAGAGUUCAUAUCGACGGCGGUGUUUGGCACCUCGAUGUCGGCUCAUCACAUCCUGGGGCUGAAGUAGGUCCCAAGGGUAUGGCUGUUCGCCAUUUAAAGUGGUACGCGAGCUGGGUUUAGAACGUCGUGAGACAGUUCGGUCCCUAUCUGCCGUGGGCGCUGGAGAAUUGAGGGGGGCUGCUCCUAGUACGAGAGGACCGGAGUGGACGCAUCACUGGUGUUCGGGUUGUCAUGCCAAUGGCACUGCCCGGUAGCUAAAUGCGGAAGAGAUAAGUGCUGAAAGCAUCUAAGCACGAAACUUGCCCCGAGAUGAGUUCUCCCUGAGACUUUAAGUCUCCUGAAGGAACGUUGAAGACGACGACGUUGAUAGGCCGGGUGUGUAAGCGCAGCGAUGCGUUGAGCUAACCGGUACUAAUGAACCGUGAGGCUUAACCUU
rnacentral:rRNA from 1 species